AUUGAACGCUGGCGGCAUGCCUUACACAUGCAAGUCGAACGGUAACAGGUCUUCGGAUGCUGACGAGUGGCGAACGGGUGAGUAAUACAUCGGAACGUGCCUAGUAGUGGGGGAUAACUACUCGAAAGAGAGGCUAAUACCGCAUGAGAUCAACGGAUGAAAGCAGAGGAUCGCAAGACCUUGUGCUACUAUAGCGGCCGAUGGCAGGUUAGGUACUUGGUGGGAUAAAAGCUUACCAAGCCGACGAUCUGUAGCUGGUCUGAGAGGACGAUCAGCCACACUGGGACUGAGACACGGCCCAGGCUCCUACGGGAGGCAGCAGAGGGGAAUUUUGGACAAUGGGCGAAAGCCUGAUCCAGCAAUGCCGCGUGCAGGAUGAAGGCCUUCGGGUUGUAAACUGCUUUUGUACGGAACGAAAAGCCCCGGGUUAAUACCCUGGGGUCAUGACGGUACCGUAAGAAUAAGCACCGGCUAACUACGUGCCAGCCGCCGCGGUAA
rnacentral:rRNA from 1 species